AUUGAACGCUGGCGGCAGGCCUAACACAUGCAAGUCGAGCGAGCGGCGGACGGGUGAGUAAUGUCUGGGAAACUGCCUGAUGGAGGGGGCUAACUACUGGAAACGGUAGCUAAUACCGCAUACCCUCAGAUGUGCCCAGAUGGGAUUAGCUUGUAGGUGGGGUAACGGCUCACCUCGGCGACGAUCCCUAGCUGGUCUGAGAGGAUGACCAGCCACACUGGAACUGAGACACGGGCCAGACGCCUACGGGAGGCAGCAGUGGGGAAUAGUGCACAAUGGACGCAAGCCUGAUGCAGCCAUGCCGCGUGAAUGAAGAAGGCCUUCGGGUUGUAAAGUACUGUCAGCGGGGAGGCGGUACCCGAAGAAGAAGCACCGGCUAACUCCGUGCCAGCAGCCGCGGUAAUAC
rnacentral:rRNA from 1 species